CGUCAGACUCAUAAACACCCUCACGACCCAAUGGCAGCACGCUAACAACUCAUUUCAAGAUGAAAUUUUUCCCACAACAUUUAAGUGGACACUGAACCAGGCCCUGGAGACGAAAGAGUGAGAAGGCAGAAACGAUCCCGUCACUGGGAAGCUCACACUGCAGAGGAGGGACCCACCGUCAGGACCAGGCACCUUUCAGCCAGUAGACAUGGUCUAGUGGAGAAGGCCCGUGAUGAGGGGCCCAGCAUCCCAAGUUCCCUUUCUGCUCCGCUGGUCUCCAGCUGGCUCACUUUGACUUCGUUCCCAGUCCCUCUGUGCCACAACUGUCUCACCUACAAAAUGAAGGAGAUUGGUCCAGGCAUAAGGGAAAAAAUAAGGUGUGGGAGAACCCAUGAAGCAAAGAGCUAUGGAUCACUUGCUGUAUGCCAGAUGCUGUACACCAGGAACAGAAAAGGAAGAAAGGGACAUGUUGCACCCUUAGCAUGCAUUUUGUGAGGGAACAGACAGAUACAAAGAUUACAUUAAAACGAAAAAGCGCAACGAUGUGGAGAGCACAGAAGAGAGCUACCCACGCUAGACGCUCGCUGAAUCCUCACAACAUCCUGGAUACCGCUGUUUCCAUUUCAUAGCUGGGGAAGGGAGACCAAGAAAAAUGAAACGGUUUCCAAGACCCCACAGUUGAUGUAACUACUACAGCUCUCCCAUGGAUGAAAUACUAGGUUACAAUGUCUACUGUUUUGCUGGGAAACAGCUCAUUUUCUCACAGAGAAAGGUGAGGGUAAAAUGAAAGGGUCAAGAGUCCACCUUGGAAAGUCUUCUGGACAAUAACCAAACAUAGUCCACAACAGACUUCUUUCAGAGUUGCCGUCACCUCCCCUUGACCCUCUCUGCAUUUCACAUACAGUCCCUCUACUCCAGGGAGCCGUGGAAUUGACGCAAAAUGGAGAAGGAGAAAGGAUCCAGGGGUACCGAGGAGCACGUGAGGGAAUCACUCACUGAAACGGAGGAACAGUUCAUCCCCGGAAAUAAGAUCCAGCGCUAUGGCGUUAAUUCAGUGUCUUUACUGUUGUGGUUAGUCAUGGAGAAAUUCGGGGCAUCAGAGCUGUUCCUUUAAAGACCGAGGCCACUGUGCUCAUGGACGAGCCAUCACCACACCAUUAUGACUAGUUUUCCUACCCACAUUUGGCCUGGUUUUCCUAUCGACUUCCCAAUCCCUGUGAACGUGUGCAGGUAUUUCCCCGACAAUCUCUACUACUCCCCACUCCACUUGGCCUGUUUGGGAACAGGACUGCUAUUCCAAAUGCAUUCUAUUUGGAAUGUGCAUUCGCCACCGACAACAGACAAAUAAGCCAGAAGCAAAACCACUUUUGACUCUGGGAUACUAACUGCAACAAAUUGCCUGGAAAUAACAAAAUGAGGCUGAAAAGACUAGGAUAAAUAUUCCCUGCAUUUUCUGCAAAAUACCAAUAUUAGCCACGGAAGACACAGGCCAUUUAGCUCCUUGAGCAUCAUUGUAUGAUCCAUAGUUUCCUCACAAGAAGCAAGUUCUGUUUGUGCCAACUGUGUAUGAUUCUGCUUCUAAAGCAUUACUCAAAUUCAACAUUCAGCUCUGCUCAGAGUAUGCAUAAUACACGAAUUAAUAACUAAUAUGAAAAGAAAAAAGGCUCUGCAUGAAAUAACCUUUUUCAGACUGAGCAAUAAUCCUCCACGUACAGUAACAAAAAUAGAUGUAACUUCCUUCUCCUCCUGAGAUGUCCAAUUCCACUCUCCGCGGGAGACUCAUCAAUGAACUUCGAUAAAACACCCAGGAUCAUAUACGCGUAGGUAAUUACAACUGUAUUAACCCCUGUCACUGGCUGUGAAGGGAUCAGCGUCAAUCUGGGCAGUUGCUAACAAUAGCGCUCUGAGGGCAAUACGCUCAGUGUUACUCAAGAUGAGUGUUGACUUGCAAGUGGCACCUGGAUGGAUUUGGGACAGAAUACUCAGAUCUUAGUUCUCCUGAGCUCAGCAUUAACAUAAUCCCAUUCUAUUACAAAUUCUCCACCUAAAGGUCCCCUACAGCCACCCACCUGCAGUCAGUCCCCACACCUCCUCAGGGCGGCAGGCUCCAUCAGAUGCCCAGGUGUCCUGAUGUAGGAACUCAGACCUCAUGCAAGGUCUAAGUGACCACUGCCCUCAUUGGGAAGUCACUCAAGUGCUUAACUCACAAACUUUCCAAAAUUUACAUUUUAAUGUCAGGUCCUCAGAGCCUGGGUCUGGAAAUCAACCGGGUCCUUUGUUAUCUGUAACAGAGGCUAUAAAGAAAGAUAACUUAUUGAAAAAGUUGGACUUCUAGGACACAGCAUACUGAAAAAGCUUGGACUUUAGAGCCUGACAGAGCUGGGUUUAAGCUUUAACUCAUUGUCGACUGGUGGCAUGAACGACUUUGCAGAGUUUCCGCCUCUCUCAGAGCCGUGACACAGAUUAACUGUGAAUCUCAGCCGACCAAACACACCUGCACCUAGGAGCGACCUCUCUCGGCACCGACAGUGCCGGCACUGGCUUUGUUUCGUUAACACACUGCCCAGCCCUUGCCUAUAGCUCCCGGACGGCUAGUAACCUACUCUGGCCAUCUCCACGACCCAAGCCCAGGACGCGCUGCGUGACUCACAGUAGGCUCUCAACGUCCACGUCACACUGAAGGAAGAGGAGGCACUUAAUUCAGUGCUUCUCAAACUUUAAUGUGCAUACAAUUCACCUGGGAAUCGUGUUAAAGAGCAUAUUCUGAUUCAUUACGUCUAGCGUGGACCCCAAGACACUGCAUCUCAGACAAGCACCAAAUAGACCCAUGCUUCGAGGACCCCACUCUGAGCAACUCAGUGCUAGUUUCCUUUCUUUUCCUUCCUUUUUGGCCCCGACAAUAGUCUAUGAAGUGGCAACAGCCACGAGCCGUUUGUGAGCAGCUCUGAGGGCUGUUUCCCCGCAGUCCAACCAUGACCUUCCCUUGACACCAACAGAGGCCGGGGCACCCAGGACAAUAUGAGUGUGGGGACUGUUAGUGUGAAGAUACAACUCUUCCCCAUUAGAACAAGCUAUCGAGUGAACAAUGCUCUUCGUCAGAAAAAUAGAAAGCUCCUUAAGGAACAAGAAACAGUUUCGUUAUACUUCUAGAGGACAACACACUAAAUAGCAAUGUGCCGGUAGAAGACACAAAUUUCUAAAUCACUGACAUUUAAUACCUUGUAUUUCCAAAAAGUGUCAUGCUCUCCACUGUCAUGUUAACAGAAUGAGUAUUUAUAAAUAUGCAUGCCAGAAACGCAAAGCCAUAUUUGCAAAGGGAAGCUGUCAUCUGGUGCCACACAGCGCCAUCUGCCGGGCAGCUGCUGAGGAGCAGCAGAAAAAAGGAAGGAUCCUGGUCAGGAAUAAUAACGCGAAAUUUCCUGCAGCUUUUGAAACAGCUUUAUGCAAACUAAGGCAGCUUCCUGGGGUUCUGCACUGGCUCAUUUGGAGAGAACACCAUACAGCAAAAAUGCUCUUUUUGCCUAAAAAGGUAGAACCAUUUUAUAGAGAUACGUAUACUGAUGCGGGACUACAGGCUGAACAGAGAAAUCCUUAUGGCCAUUGAGAAGAAAAAACUGUUUCUUCCUCCCAAAGAAAAAUCUGGUUUUCUGGGCACCACUGGAAUUUACCUGACUCUUAAUCAACACAAUGUUAGUGCACAGUAUUUUCAGCACCCGUCACAAACAAGAAAUAGACAUGAGAAAGUAGCAAAGACAAAUCUGUAAUCUAGUCACUACUGAAUGUAGGUUCCUCUUAAAUCCUAAAACUGGUCGAAUACUUUAGCACAAAUGUCAAGAAAGGAAUGAGUGGGAAGAUGUGAGGCCUGAUAAGUCCUUCCUACUGACAUCUUUCAAGGAAAAGGCAACUUGCUCUAUCAUCAUAGUGGCAUAAUUUUGAAAUGAUUUUAAUUUUCCUAUUGAAUAGUCUAGUUGCCAGAGCUGAUCACCCAGUUCUUAGGCAGUCUUCGAUUUUAAAGAAUUAAGCAGAAAUUUGGGUUUAACUGAACACAUUAAAGAAUAAUAAUGCUAUGAAAUAUCUACUUUGGGACGUCAGAAAAAAUAUAGGUAACAAGCCCUUUCAAGCAAUUUUCUACAGAGGAUCUCAAAGGGCAAUCCUGGCUGUCACCCAACGACCCUUGAAAAGGCUCUGUUGAGGUUUCCCUGAGAUUCAGAAGUGGAAAGUAUGAAUAAAAUAUAGAUCAAUAAAGUAUUUCACAGGUGCUUUAGAGGAACAUUAAGGGAAUUGCCUGAGGUCACAAAGACAUAACAGUUGGGAAAAAACCUGGGACUCCCAGAUUCUAGCUUAAAACACCUAAAUACUUCCUCCGUGUAACACUUCUUGGGGGACAAUCCCAUAAUUAAUUUAAACAGCUUUCUGGGGCACAUUAACGAUGUACACAGGCCCUCUGAAAGGAGAAAAUGGCUUCCUUGCCACUCAUAAGUGGGCCUGUUUCCUCUAGUGAGACCAAGGCACCCUGGAAGGCCCUGGAAGGAAACAUCAGAACUGCCAAGAGGGCUGGGGGCACAGGUGGGCACAGAUUUCUCAUCCGGCUGUCUCCUCCCAUCUUGUGGAAUAGCCUCCAUAGCCUGGGAAAACUGACAUUUCUUUCCAACGGCCCAGCCUCACCGGCACACCCCCAGGCCUUCCUUGCCUCAGAGGGAUGCUUCCCAACUAUGAAUUUUCAUGGACUAAGCAUUGCCUGAGGGCCCUGCGGUGCUGGGAGGGAACCUGCC
ensembl:lncRNA